rnacentral:lncRNA from 1 species
UGUCAACUGACAGUCUAACAUUUUUAAAGGAGCAGUGCUGACGUAUUUAAAAUUGUAUUUUAUAAUAAAUAAUCUGUGAUCAAAGGAAAUAGAUAAGAGCGUCAAUACAUUUGAUACGAACAACAUAAAAUUAUAGAGGAUACGUGGUACAGAAUAAUUUUUAAAUAGCUAAUAAUUUUGUUAUCAAAAUGCGUAAAGCAGUCACCCCCAGCCCGUCGAACGAAGCGAAGGUGUUUCAGCCGGCAUCGAACCUACUACCCCCGCUGCCACCGCCGUCGCUUCCCUCGCCAGACCCAACUCCGCCUAAAUUCGGCGAACUAAUUGCGAAACGUGUACAAGGAAACACUGGCAAAAAGGAUGUAAAGAAUAAAGAUACAAGAAUAGCUUAAUCUUUUUUUAUGAAAUAAAAAACUUUUUUUAAAUUAUAAUAAAUGUGGGCCAGAUUUGAAGUAUAGUUACAAUGUCCAAUUUAUUUAAUUAUUUAUAUAUAUAAUUACAUAUAAUGUAUUGCACCUUCCCGCUCUUUCUUUGCAAGUUCUCUCGUCAGGGGUUGCCUGGUAGAGAUUACUUUUAGUAAUAAGGCCGCCUUUGCAUGCUAAGUUUAAUUUAUCUUUUUAUUGUUUUAAUUUAUAAUUGUAUUUUUGUGCGCAAUAAAGUAUUUCUUCUUCUUCUUCCAAUUUAGUGUCACUUAUUAAACAAUAAUAUUAAUUUUUAAUGGUAUAGUUUUAGUUCGAUUGACAGUUCUUGUUUUUCUGUAACGUAAGCCAAAAAUGGUCAGUUUCCUAAGGAAUAAAAAUUUUCGAUAAUGUAAAUUUACAUAUUUGAGCAGGCAUAAUUUUAUAUAUUUUCAGGUCUAAUGUGAAUUUAGGUACUUUUAAUUAGAUAGAUCACAUACUGAUAAAUUUUCAGAAUCAUAACUUACAACCGAUAUAUAUAUUCGGUACAAUGCGGAUUUACAGACUUCAUUUUUUCCUUGGAGAUGCAUGCCUCGGUCUGGAUUCAAACCUACGCCCUCCAAAUCGAAGGUCAUAUUCACUGGACUACCGCGGCUCUAACGAUCCUAUGUAAUAAAUAAUAGACACUGCAAAAGAACAUGAUGAAUUCUUAUUAUUCUUUAGUCUGUGGUUAUUUAAGUAAUUUUCCAAGUUGUCUAUACCUAGCUUUUAAGACUAUUCUGUUUUACUACAACGAAUCAAAGUGAGUGUUUUAUUUGUAAGUCUUUCAAAUAAAAUU